rnacentral:rRNA from 1 species
UACGGGGGGGGCAAGCGUUGUUCGGAAUUACUGGGCGUAAAGGGCUCGUAGGCGGCCAACUAAGUCAGACGUGAAAUCCCUCGGCUUAACCGGGGAACUGCGUCUGAUACUGGAUGGCUUGAGUUUGGGAGAGGGAUGCGGAAUUCCAGGUGUAGCGGUGAAAUGCGUAGAGAUAUGGAGGAACACCAGUGGCGAAGGCGACUUUCUGGUCUGUAACUGACACUGAGGCGCGAAAGCGUGGGGAGCAAACAGG